rnacentral:rRNA from 1 species
UACGGAGGGGGCUAGCGUUGUUCGGAAUUACUGGGCGUAAAGCGCACAUAGGCGGCUUUGUAAGUUAGAGGUGAAAGCCCAGGGCUCAACCCUGGAAUUGCCUUUAAGACUGCAUCGCUUGAAUCAUGGAGAGGUGAGUGGAAUUCCGAGUGUAGAGGUGAAAUUCGUAGAUAUUCGGAAGAACACCAGUGGCGAAGGCGACUCACUGGACAUGUAUUGACGCUGAGGUGCGAAAGCGUGGGGAGCAAACAGG